rnacentral:rRNA from 1 species
AUACCCUAUUAUUUAAGAGCUAAAUAUUGUAAGUAUAUAAUAAUUACGAAAGCAAAAAAUUAUGGCGGUAUUUUAAGCUUUUCAGAGGAAUUUGCUCUUUAAUGGAUAAAACACCUAAAUCUUACUUAAAUUUGUUAAAUCAACUUGUAUACCACUAUUAAAACAAUUAUUAACUCUAAUUGUUAAUAUUUAAAACAUAAAUUAAUUUAAAUUAAGUCAAGGUGCAGUAAAAAUUUAAGAAUGAAGUGAAUUACAUUACUUUUAAGAGAAAUAAAGUUAAAUAAAAUUUAGGAUUUGAAAGUAAAAUUAAAAUAGAAUGUUAAUUUGAAUUAAGCUCUAAAAUAUGUACAUAUCGCCCGUC